AGUGAACGCUGGCGGUAGGCCUAACACAUGCAAGUCGAACGGCAGCACAGUAAGAGCUUGCUCUUACGGGUGGCGAGUGGCGGACGGGUGAGGAAUUCAUCGGAAUCUACUUUUUCGUGGGGGAUAACGUAGGGAAACUUACGCUAAUACCGCAUACGACCUACGGGUGAAAGCAGGGGAUCUUCGGACCUUGCGCGAUUGAAUGAGCCGAUGUCGGAUUAGCUAGUUGGCGGGGUAAAGGCCCACCAAGGCGACGAUCCGUAGCUGGUCUGAGAGGAUGAUCAGCCACACUGGAACUGAGACACGGUCCAGACUCCUACGGGAGGCAGCAGUGGGGAAUAUUGGACAAUGGGCGCAAGCCUUAUCCAGCCAUACCGCGUGGGUGAAGAAGGCCUUCGGGUUGUAAAGCCCUUUUGUUGGGAAAGAAAAGCAGCAGGUUAAUACCCCGCUGUUCUGACGGUACCCAAAGAAUAAGCACCGGCUAACUUCGUG
rnacentral:rRNA from 1 species